rnacentral:rRNA from 1 species
GGCACGCCUAACACAUGCAAGUCGAACGAAGUAGCAAUACUUAGUGGCAGACGGGUGAGUAACAUGUGGGUAUCUGCCCUUUGGCCUGGAAUAACACGAGGAAACUUGUGCUAAUACCGGAUAAGUCUUUACGGAGAAAGCUUUAUGCACCAUUGGAUGAGCCCGCACUUGAUUAGUUUGUUGGUGGGGUAAUGGCCUACCAAGACUGUGAUCAAUAGCUGAUUUGAGAGGAUGAUCAGCCACAUUGGGACUGAGACACGGCCCAAACUCCUACGGGAGGCAGCAGUGGGGAAUCUUGCACAAUGGAGGAAACUCUGAUGCAGCGAUGCCGCGUGAGUGAAGAAGGCCCUUGGGUUGUAAAGCUCUUUCGUCGGGGAAGAAAAUGACUGUACCCGAAUAAGAAGGUCCGGCUAACUUCGUGCCAGCAGCCGCGGUAAUACGAAGGGACCUAGCGUAGUUCGGAAUUACUGGGCUUAAAGAGUUCGUAGGUGGUUGAAAAAGUUAGUGGUGAAAUCCCAGAGCUUAACUCUGGAACUGCCAUUAAAACUUUUCAGCUAGAGUAUGAUAGAGGAAAGCAGAAUUUCUAGUGUAGAGGUGAAAUUCGUAGAUAUUAGAAAGAAUACCAAUUGCGAAGGCAGCUUUCUGGAUCAUUACUGACACUGAGGAACGAAAGCAUGGGUAGCGAAGAGGAUUAGAUACCCUCGUAGUCCAUGCCGUAAACGAUGUGUGUUAGACGUUGGAAAUUUAUUUUCAGUGUCGCAGCGAAAGCGAUAAACACACCGCCUGGGGAGUACGACCGCAGGUUAAAACUCAAAUGAAUUGACGGGGACCCGCACAAGUAGUGGAG